rnacentral:rRNA from 1 species
AUACGAAGUCGGACCUGCCCAGUGAAUUUUAAACGGCCGCGGUACUCUGACCGUGCAAAGGUAGCAUAAUCAUUUGCCUUAUAAUUGAAGGCUGGAAUGAAUGGUUUGACAAGAAUACAGCUGUCUCUUUAAGAUUAUUUAGAAUUUUAUCUUUGGAUGAAAAAGUCCAAAUUCUAGUAAAAGACAAGAAGACCCUAUCGAGCUUCAGAAAAAUUAAUAGACUUAAUAAUCAAUAUAGAUAAAAGACAAAACUAUUAAGUACUUUGGUUGGGGCAACCGAGGAACAUAUAAAGCUUCCUUUAAUCUAUAAAUCCUACUUGUGUCGAUCCAGAAAUUUUGAUCAAAGGAAUUAGUUACCGUAGGGAUAACAGCAUUAUCUUUUUCAAGAGCCCAUAUCGAAAAAAAGGUUUGUGACCUCGAUGUUGGACCAGAAUAUCCUAAAGAUGCAGAAGUCUUUAAGGGUUGGUCUGUUCGACCAUUAAAAUUCUA